GAUGAAGAACGCAGUGAAAUGCGAUAAGUAAUGUGAAUUGCAGAAUUCAGUGAAUCAUCGAAUCUUUGAACGCACAUUGCGCCCCUUGGUAUUCCGAGGGGCAUGCCUGUUCGAGCGUCAUUAUAACCCCUCAAGCUCGGCUUGGUGUUGGGGCCUGCCGCACGGGCAGCCCUUAAAAUCAGUGGCGGUGCCAUCUGGCUCUAAGCGUAGUAAUUCUUCUCGCUAUAGAGUCCCGGUGGAUGCUUGCCAUCAACCCCCAAUUUCAAUGGUUGACCUCGGAUCAGGUAGGGAUACCCGCUGAACUUAAGCAUAUCAAUAAGCGGAGGA
rnacentral:misc_RNA from 1 species